GCGAUCACGCUACUAAUUAAAUUACUUUAAUUAAAAUUGGAUUAAAAUAUACCCCUCUACAAAAACCUUGGGUGACGCCCGCGAAGAUCCAACACCGAUUUUUCGGUGCACAGGCGCGCCAAUAGAAAGAAAAUCGAUGAUUGUCGAUUUCUAGUUUAGUUGGUCACGAACUCACAAAGAGGCAACACAUCGUCAUUACUUAGGUGACGGAGUUUGGGCAAAAUUGGGAAAAUAUAUAACUAAAAGACCUCGAACAUCAGCCAAUAACCCAUACUAAUAAUAAUCAAGCAGUAGUUAUAUCUGGAGACUUAUUUACAAGAAAGGAAAAAGGUUAUAAUACCGCCGAUGUGUUGCUUUGCUCAAGUGAGUAUAUUGAUAUAUUUCUCUUUAUUUCUUCAUUAUAAAAUCAAAUUCACCAUCCUAGAUAUCUCGUUCGUUAUCUGUAGAUAUUAAUUUCAGUUAAGAAAUAAUUUAAAUGUCACAUUAUAAGUUAUAUUACGGUAAGGAUAUUCGUUUCCAUUUGCAAAGGAACAGUCAAGGCCAUAUGUUUUAGUGCUAAAGUUAAAUUCCAAUUUCUCAUUAGACUUUUUGCUCUAGGUUUUUUUGAGGUAAUAAUAUAAAAAAAGUUUUAACGACUAUCAGACAUGUCAUGCGCAUGUCCCUGCCAUGUCUGAUUUGAUGAUUUGAAUUAGUUUCAGUUUGACAUGACAUAUGUAUACCUAACCUGAGUUUUUUUUUUGUUUUGGUUUCCAGUGCAGUGACUCUGUGCUGUCUACGCAUAGUGUUAUAAAUAAUGUAAUUAAAUUGAUAAAAUUUAUUUUAGAUUCCGUCCCUUAGCUACUUGUCACAUAGACACUUAGCCUAGUCAAUUUAUAUAGAUUGUAUCAUCAUUUAAUGUGCCAUCAUAUAAAUAUGUGCCAGUUACUGUAAGCAGCUAGGGUAUGGGUUACCCCUAGAGUUACUUUUGAUUGGAUUGGAUAGUACCUAUUUCACAACAUCCAGGAUUGGAUUUAUCA
rnacentral:lncRNA from 1 species